CACGGCGGCCGUAGCGCGGUGGUCCCACCUGACCCCAUGCCGAACUCAGAAGUGAAACGCCGUAGCGCCGAUGGUAGUGUGGGGUCUCCCCAUGCGAGAGUAGGGAACUGCCAGGC
rnacentral:rRNA from 1 species